GACGAACGCUGGCGGUGUGCCUAAUACAUGCCAGUUGAGCGAUGAAGCUUGGUGCUUGCACCAAUUUGAAGAGCAGCGAACGGGUGAGUAACGCGUGGGGAAUCUGCCUUUGAGCGGGGGACAACAUUUGGAAACGAAUGCUAAUACCGCAUAACAACUUUAAACAUAAGUUUUAAGUUUGAAAGAUGCAAUUGCAUCACUCAAAGAUGAUCCCGCGUUGUAUUAGCUAGUUGGUGAGGUAAAGGCUCACCAAGGCGAUGAUACAUAGCCGACCUGAGAGGGUGAUCGGCCACAUUGGGACUGAGACACGGCCCAAACUCCUACGGGAGGCAGCAGUAGGGAAUCUUCGGCAAUGGACGAAAGUCUGACCGAGCAACGCCGCGUGAGUGAAGAAGGUUUUCGGAUCGUAAAACUCUGUUGGUAGAGAAGAACGUUGGUGAGAGUGGAAAGCUCAUCAAGUGACGGUAACUACCCAGAAAGGGACGGCUAACUACGUG
rnacentral:rRNA from 1 species